rnacentral:rRNA from 1 species
UACGUAGGGGGCAAGCGUUGUCCGGAUUUAUUGGGCGUAAAGCGCGCGCAGGCGGUUUUUCAAGUCAGUGGUGAAAGCCCGGAGCUCAACUCCGGAACUGCCAUUGAAACUGUAAAACUUGAGGACGAGAGAGGUGAGUGGAAUUCCCAGUGUAGAGGUGAAAUUCGUAGAUAUUGGGAAGAACACCGGUGGCGAAGGCGGCUCACUGGCUCGUAUCUGACGCUCAUGCACGACAGCGUGGGGAUCAAACAGG